ACGGGUGAGUAAUACGUAGGAAUCUGCCUUGUUGAGCGGGAUAGCCUAGGGAAACUUAGGGUAAUACCGCAUAAGCCCGAGAGGGGAAAGCCGGGGAGCCGCGAGGCCCUGGCGCAAUAAGAUGAGCCUACGUCGGAUUAGCUAGUUGGUGGGGUAAAGGCCUACCAAGGCGAUGAUCCGUAGCUGGUCUGAGAGGACGACCAGCCACACUGGGACUGAGACACGGCCCAGACUCCUACGGGAGGCAGCAGUGGGGAAUAUUGGACAAUGGGCGCAAGCCUGAUCCAGCAAUGCCGCGUGUGUGAAGAAGGCCUGAGGGUUGUAAAGCACUUUCAGUGGGGAGAAAGAGGCUGUCGUUAAUACCGACAGUGGAUGAUGUUACCCACAGAAGAAGCACCGGCUAACUCUGUGCCAGCAGCCGCGGUAAUACAGAGGGUGCGAGCGUUAAUCGGAAUUACUGGGCGUAAAGGGUGCGUAGGUGGUUUUGUAAGUUAGAUGUGAAAUUCCUGGGCUUAACCUGGGGACUGCGUCUGAUACUGCGAAGCUAGAGUACUGUAGAGGAAAGUGGAAUUUCCGGUGUA
rnacentral:rRNA from 1 species